GGAUUGUGGCUCAGCGGUAGAGCGCUCCCCUAGCACGGGCGGGACCCGGGUUCAAUCCUCAGCACCA
rnacentral:tRNA from 1 species